UACGUAGGGGGCAAGCGUUGUCCGGAUUUAUUGGGCGUAAAGAGCUCGUAGGUGGUUCGGUAAGUCGGAUGUGAAAUCUCCAGGCUCAACCUGGAGGGGUCAUUCGAUACUGCCGGACUAGAGUUCGGAAGAGGCGAGUGGAAUUCCCGGUGUAGCGGUGAAAUGCGCAGAUAUCGGGAGGAACACCUAUGGCGAAGGCAGCUCGCUGGGACGUUACUGACGCUGAGACGCGAGAGCGUGGGGAGCAAACAGG
rnacentral:rRNA from 1 species